rnacentral:rRNA from 1 species
UGGGGAAUAUUGCACAAUGGAGGGAACUCUGAUGCAGCGACGCCGCGUGAACGAAGAAGGCUUUCGAGUCGUAAAGUUCUUUUAUAUGGGAAGAUAAUGACGGUACCAUAAGAAAAAGCCCCGGCUAACUACGUGCCAGCAGCCGCGGUAAUACGUAGGGGGCUAGCGUUGUCCGGAAUCACUGGGCGUAAAGGGUUCGCAGGCGGAAAUGCAAGUCAGGUGUAAAAGGCAGUAGCUUAACUACUGUAAGCAUUUGAAACUGCAUAUCUUGAGAAGAGUAGAGGUAAGUGGAAUUUUUAGUGUAGCGGUGGAAUGCGUAGAUAUCAGGAGGAAUACCGGUGGCGAAGGCGACUUACUGGACUUAAACUGACGCUCAGGCACGAAAGCGUGGGGAGCAAACAGG